rnacentral:SRP_RNA from 1 species
GCCGGGGAACUCAAGAAACGGACGACUUCGAAUCAGGUCAGAACCGGAAGGUAGCAGCCUUAAGGAUCAUCGUACGUGUUCUGAACCCUCUCCGGCAUU